rnacentral:lncRNA from 1 species
GCUGAAUAUUGUUUUACUCCUCAUGGUGGUUCAUGUGCGCAGGAAUUCCAAGUAAAUGACCAUUUUAGCACUGCGUUGGUUGCUUGUUGAAGUUUUUCUCCAGUUACAUAAUCAUUCUCCAGUCAUCAGUUGCUGCUACCACAAUCUCUAUGCAUGCCACAGUGCUGUCUUUGAAUCUGUGACUGGCAACCAUCCUAAUAUAUGCAGCUUGUUAUAUUAAUAUACUCAGUCAUGUCCACACAGAUUGUGUAUUUUACAGUUUCUACUUGUGCUUGUCUUGAAUGUGGCUCCGUAACUGUUAUCUUUCAUCUAUUAAGUACCUCUGUUCAUGGUUUUCUGACCUAGAAUCAUAUGGAAUAAAAUGGUCUGUCUGUCCAGCCCACAGGUUGUGGGUUAUGUUUUAAGAAAUACUUUAAAUAUACCAUAAUCUGAAAUAGAUUUUUAACACUUUAUUUUAUUAAUCUUAG